rnacentral:rRNA from 1 species
ACAUGCCUACAACAUAGCGUUAAUGCAUCGGAUGCCAUUAGAACUCCAAGUUAAGCGCGCUUGGGAUAGAGUAGCACGUGGAUGGGUGAACGCCCGGGAAGUCCUAGUAUUUUGCAUGCC